rnacentral:lncRNA from 1 species
AUGGGGUUCCCUUUUCUGGGGGCGAGGCUCUUCCCUGCCCAGAGCCUUUUCCCUGCCAGCCAGGGGCGGAACAGGCGUUGCUGCAGCGAGUGGAAAGUUGGAGGGGUGAAGCACGGCCAUUUCCCCUCUGAGCCACCUCUCGUGGCGGUGUCUUUGGGCUGUUUUUGGCAGGGACCCUGCGGGCUGGCACCAGGGACCCUGCUUGCCAAGGUGGGUGGCGUUAGGGACGAGCCCUGUGUGUUCCCCAGCCCUGUGGCAGAGGAGGGCACGCACCCGCUUUUUGGUCUGUGGGUCACCUUUCAUCCUGCCGGUCAAGGCCAUCCUAGGGACCCAUCUGUCACCCUGCUUCUCACGACAGCUCGUGGGAGCGGAGCAGCUGAACUCUCCCUGCUGGCCUCGAGGGAGACGAGAGGACAAGGGCAGGAUUUUUUUUCCUGGUGCCAGGGCUGUGCUGUGCCAUCCCUACAGCAGCACCGGCUCGCUUGGGGUGCCCAAGGCAUCCGGGUGCCGUGCUGUGUCCUCGACCUGGGGCUUGCCCUGUGGGACGCGGUGAGGACGGGAAGCAGAGGGGCUCUGGGAGAUGCUGGAACAAACCCCGGGGCUGUUUUACUCCGCCUGCAUGGGGAUCCCAUGUCCUGUUACUGGGUGGUGUGGGUCUGCUGUGAUGUGAGGGAAUCGGGCACCCUGCUCCCCAGCAGAGGUGGAAGGGUCCCUGGGUCAGAGCAGGAGCUGCGAUGCCUUCCAGGGGCUCAGGUCCCAGCCUUGCUGCGGGACCAGGUGCUGCCGUUCCCCUCCCGGGCUGCCUUUGUGCUGCACCCCAGCGCCAAGCUGGCUGCGGCCCCGUGCCGAGAGCUGUGCCGUGCUGGGGAGCAGCCCCGGUGCCUGGAGGACACCCCGGGCUUGCUGGGCCCUCGUCCCCAUGUGGCUCCACCAGCAGAUGUGGCCUCAGAGAUGGCUCUGAGCGCCGAUCCCUGUCCCUCUGUCCUGAGCUCCCCAGUGCACGGGUGCCCCAGAGGGAGUGGGUCACAGCCUGUCCCUGCCCUGCAUCGUGCCGGGGCUGCGGCUGCUCGAGGAUGGAGCGCGGGCAGGAUGAGGCCAACGUUUCUGCUGGGUGCAGUGGAGCCCCGGCGUGCUCCCUGCCACAGCAAUCGGGGGCUGGGGGGGCUGUGUGGGACUCAGCACAGCCUCAGUACUCCCCCAGGGGGGCCUGGCUUCACUUAG